rnacentral:rRNA from 1 species
UACGAAGGGGGCUAGCGUUGCUCGGAAUCACUGGGCGUAAAGGGUGCGUAGGCGGGUCUUUAAGUCAGGGGUGAAAUCCUGGAGCUCAACUCCAGAACUGCCUUUGAUACUGAGGAUCUCGAGUCCGGGAGAGGUGAGUGGAACUCCGAGUGUAGAGGUGAAAUUCGUAGAUAUUCGCAAGAACACCAGUGGCGAAGGCGGCUUACUGGUCCGGUUCUGACGCUGAGGCGCGAAAGCGUGGGGAGCAAACAGG